CACUAAUUCCACUUAAUUAAUACUAGGAAUGUAUGAGCUGAGAAUGGUUAAUGAAAUUCUAAAUAUUUUCCCUUUAUCCCCAGUCCAUCUCCUCUCUUCUCCCCCCAUCUCCCUUACCCAUAGUCUUUGGAUUUAAGUUGUGUGUAUAUCCUGAAGGAAAACUAAAGGUUAAGUUUCUGUUUAGGAUGGAAGUGUUAGCCCCUGAAAAGAAAACACAUGAAGAGAAUGAAGAUUUGCAGCAAUAUCCUCAGAAGCCUGCAAGCUGUAAGAAAAUGCUUAGGAAUUGCUGCUUGAUAAAGCGAAUUUUUGCCUGGAAAAGUUUGAGCUCUAAAGGACAGAAUUGGGGCCAUGGUGUCAGUCUUCUGCUAGCUUAAACCAUUCUUGAGUCCAGGUGGAAAUCUGAGAGGCCUUACUCUGUACUGUACAGUUCAUGCCCUGUGUCAUGGAAGAGGCACCAGCUUGAACCAUGGGGAGAGGUGGAACAUCAGGAAAGUGUAAAGGAUUGACAGAUGAUUUUACUUGAGAAAGAGCAGAUUUUUUAGGAGAUAAAGCUAUUUAAUUAAGAAUUUGUGUUUCUUUUCUUUACUUUCAUGAGUUUAUCAUUCUCUGAUGUACUCUAAUGACAGUCUGAUGCAGAUUUGGGAACAGCAUGGGAUCUCUCAGUCUAGUGUCUCUAUCUCAGUCUAGUCUCUUUCUAUCUCUUUUGGGAAAUGAUCCAUGUAUUUUACUGCUUUGUAACUCUGAUUUCCUGUUGAUUUUUUAUGUUGGAUUGCUUGUGGUUUAAGUAGAAGUUUCUCAGCUUUAGUUUGAAGCCUAUUUAAGCCAUGCUGUUAACUAAUGUACUUGUUAUAUCCUUCAUCCCCAUUUCCCCGACAUAAAUUAUACUUAGUUCAUUCCAAACUGUGCAUUUGCACUGAGCUAUAAACUACAGGGCAGCAACUGGAUGUCAGUUAAAGAGAAACAAGAAAACAGAAUAUGUUAAUAUUUACUAGAAAGCAGAAUGUGUUAACAAAUAACUUCCACACAGGCCUGCCAUCCCCAUCCAAACCAAGCAGUGUUUCACAGCUACAGCCAAGGGCGGUAGCAGGGCUCGGGUGUGCCAGGUGGACAAGCCUUUCAACAGAAGUGAUUUCAUCCUGAACUUUGCUUAGCUACUUGUGGAUAGGGGGACUUGUGAUUAGUUUUGCAGCUGAGUGAACUUGGGGGAAAGUUAUGACUCAAAUAUUCUGAGAAAAAGUGCAGUGGCAUGGAUAUUAUCUAAAAGCAAUCUAUUUCAACUGCCCUAGGAAUCUAGACAAGAGUUUGAGGCAAAUAAAAAGCGCCAGCCUCACCUUUGAGGGCCUUAA
rnacentral:lncRNA from 1 species